rnacentral:rRNA from 1 species
GAUGAACGCUGGCGGCGUGCCUAAUACAUGCAAGUCGAGCGAACAGACGAGGAGCUUGCUCCUCUGACGUUAGCGGCGGACGGGUGAGUAAUACGUGGAUAACCUACCUAUAAGACUGGGAUAACUUCGGGAAACCGGAGCUAAUACCGGAUAAUAUAUUGAACCGCAUGGUUCAAUAGUGAAAGACGGUUUUGCUGUCACUUAUAGAUGGAUCCGCGCCGCAUUAGCUAGUUGGUAAGGUAACGGCUUACCAAGGCAACGAUGCGUAGCCGACCUGAGAGGGUGAUCGGCCACACUGGAACUGAGACACGGUCCAGACUCCUACGGGAGGCAGCAGUAGGGAAUCUUCCGAAAUGGGCGAAAGCCUGACGGAGCAACGCCGCGUGAGUGAUGAAGGUCUUCGGAUCGUAAAACUCUGUUAUUAGGGAAGAACAAAUGUGUAAGUAACUAUGCACGUCUUGACGGUACCUAAUCAGAAAGCCACGGCUAACUACGUG